AAAUAAGAAGCAAUUAUGCAUAUAGUUUCGACCUAUAGAUUUGAUAUAAAUUUAUCCUUAUUUA
rnacentral:tRNA from 1 species